AAUUCAAAGAGCAGGGACUGUGAGCAACAGCACUGCAAAAGAUAACUACUGAAAAAGAGAGUGCUUGCGGGUAGAAUAAUAGAGCUAAAAAAAAUUGUGAUUCAGGUACUAAAAUUACUUCUAUGCAGACCAGGAAAGGAUUUGAGGAGCAAAUAACAAAGUGAAGGGAAGCUUUUUUGUUAAAACCCUUCAUCUAACACAACAGCAAAAAUUCCUCCAAGGAGUCUUGCUGAAUCAGAAGAGGUGUGUGAAGGAUUGCAAGGAUCAGCAAGUCCCUGGAGUCAGGCAUCCAGAGCUGCAGCACACCUAUCAGACUAGGAGACCCAUCAUGUCUGUCCCGCUGCCCCCAACCAGAGAGCAGGUUAAUCUGAAAACAAUGGAGCUGGAAGGGAGUGCUGAGGAAGAAUUCAGUCUUUCUACUCAAGGUCUCAAAGUAAGUGCCACCUGGUAUAUGGACUUUAAAAUUCUUAUGGUAAAAGAAGUGAUGACAUUUUAAUUCAGCCUUCACUGAAGAUCCAGCAGAUCAAGUCCUUUCAGUGUGUUCUAGCAAAAGAGAUGCUCCCUGUUGCAUCAGGCAAGCUAGAUUGCUUUUAUCUUUUAAUUAAUCUUUUUUUCAACUUAGCUAAUAGGAUUUAAGCACAGCAAUUUGAUAAGGUGUCUCUAGUUCCUUGUGUAUUCAUUCUUUCCUAUAUAUAGUAGAAAUACUUAGAAAUUAUUCCUUGGAACAUUUGAAAAGACAGGAUUUGUGGGUUUUUUUAAUAACUGCAUCAAUCUGCUGCACUUAUUUUCAUAUUCUGAAUGUCUAAAAUAAUCUUAUAUAAAAAAAUGACUUAUACAAAAAAAAAUUAUAACUGACAUAAUAUCCUAAUCUUAUUUGUAAUACUGUUUUCUGUCAGGCCAUCCACUAUGACAGCUUAGUCAAUUUUUCUUGCCCUUUUUGUUCUGUUUGUCCUCUUCAAUGUUGCUAGUCAUUCCCUCAUGACAAAAUUCCUACCACUUCACUGAGCUGCAGAUAGAUGAGAUAUGACAUACUGCUCUUACCUAACACAUUAUCUUGUUCUAUAAAGCUAACCAAUUCGUU
ensembl:lncRNA